ACGAGUGACCCACUCGAUCUCUGCAUGCAUGCAGUUCCGAAACUCCGGCCUUUCUAUAGCUUCACCACAAGAACCCCACGAGAACCUCUCGAUCUCUGCUGCAAUGGCAGCUCCGGAAUCCGUUAUGGCGAACGAACUCGUCCACGCCAAUGAACUCAACGGUGUUUGAUCUUAAGUGCAGUAAGAUAGAGAUAUAUUUUCCCAGAGAAAUGAGCUUUGGAUGUGGAAUGAUUUGGCUUUCAUCAGCCUCCUUUAAACUCUAUUAAUCAUCUACACCUUCACUGUCUGGGGCUACCCUACACACCGAGGUUAGUUUUGUGGUAUUUCUUUGGUGCUCUAUAUUAUUUAAUCAGUUGAUAUUGUUCUUUAAGGUUGCAGACAUGCCUUUUAUUCUUGACGAGCUUGAACAGAUUGGAAAAGUAUAAAAUUCUUGUCCCGUGGGUCAAUUGGAUUUCUUGAAGCUGAGAAGUUAUUGGAGAAGCUAAAGCUAUUGCCACCUGUUAUUUCAAAAGUUUGAUUCACUCAUAAUUUAGGUCCAUUAUACAAAGCAAAGAUUUGGAUUUCGCCAAUAAGCUUCGGUAUACAUUCUAAUGUAAUUUUCUGUCUUGUUGCAAUGUUGUGUUGUGUUGAAUUUCGUGAGGUGCAGUUUUCCUUCAAGAGUACCUGAUCUCCUGUUAUACUGUCAAAUCUUCUCUCCCAAAAAACAAAGUAUGAAAUCAACUUGGUCACUGUCGUUUUAAGUUUA